AGUCUGAGUUUCCUGCUAGGGAGGGAGGCCUAAACCAAGAUGGUAACCAAUAGAACAGCAGGAAGGGGGUAAAUAUAUACGUUUGUAUGAGAUACCCAGUCUAGUUGAAAGCCCCCACCCUCCGUAGUCUUUAAAUCAACUACGGUCUACCCACCUAUGACUUUUAAGAGACGUGUCAAGUUGUCUUAGCUUCGAACCGUGCAAUCUAUGACUUGGAUGUGUCAAGCUUGUCUAAGCUUGGUGCUUUGAAUCUGUAACACAUGUCAAUAGUGGUAUUGUUGGUUCCGUAACUGUCUGCUCAGUACAGUUUGAACCUUGCGUACACUUAUGCUCCCGAUAACUGAGGUUGCAGUAAUACAUAUAACCUAAAAAUUGUGUCUCUCUUACAUAAUGCACGUACCACUUGGUAGUAAGGAAACACUCGUGACUUCUGAUUAGUUCUAUGAACCACGAAAAGCAGAUGAAUUAGUAGAAACAAAACACUUGUUAGCUCUGAUUAGGUCUAUGAAUCAUGAAAUGACAAAUACACACAAAUGACAAAUACCGGGGUUAAAAUAGACAACUGAAAGUAACUGGGGAAAAUGCUAGCCCAUCAUACUGACAGAAGGCCCUAACCGCCUUCAGUGAACUUUUAAUAUUUUAUGAUACAGCAGUAUACUGUAUAUCUAACAUACAAAGGAUACAGUAACUGCUUAUAUGAAGAUAUACAUAACAAGGCCACCAGAUGGAGGUAUGCUGCUCUGUAGCCUGAUAACCAGGUGUAAGACAAAGUCUAAUUAAAUUAGAGUAAUGGCUAACAGCAACACAACAUGGCGCAGAGGAACAACUCUCUACAAUUAUCAAUAGUACUGUAUAGCUUACUUUAAUAUGCAUAUCACCAAUAAUUAAUGCACUACAUAACAUAAUUAACCAUCUCUAACAUAACUGUAUAUAUCCCUGUGUUGGACUGUUGUGCCUCUCUCAAGAUUAAUAUGCAUCAUUGUAACAUGGCCUCGUGGUGGCUCAGAUUGAUGAGCGUGGCACCGUGCUCGUUUAUGACCCUUGUGUGUGAGACCGUGAGUCCGUACUUAUGGCAUGAGUUAGACCGCUGCCGUCUGUGGAUGGCGGCUGCUAUGGCAAUGAGUGGCCGCUGGCCAGAAACCAACCCCUGUAAAAUGUUGUGACCAUACCGGCCACGUCAUGCCACUGGGGAGGUGCUAGCUAAGCCGGUAUGCAGCUUUAUCCUCCGGGGAUGUCACUGCCCUCCGUGGCCCUGGUGAGUCCAUGGGGGGGCAGGUGUUCAGAGUGCUUGGGGAAUAAAUAUAUUGGCCCCGGUGCCGGUGCCCGCGGUGGGUAGGCGGGUUCCCAAGCAUCGAUAUAGACGGUGUACUACUGUUUGUGCGGGAAAGCCAUACAGCCCGAGUUCCGACCGGUGGUGAUCCAGAGGAGCCUUCAAUUCUGUGAUCCUGCUCUCGGUUAUCUGGAAGUGUUUGAUACGAGCCUCAGCAGUAUGCCAGCAGUAUGUCUGGAACCAAUCAC